CAGCCGCCACGGUAAAACGAGGGGUGCAAGCGUUAUUCGGAUUGAUUGGGUGUAAAGGGUGUGCAGACGGCUUAUUAAGUCACUUGUUAAACUCUUCGGCCUAACUGAAGGUCUGCAAGUGAUACUGAUGAGCUAGAGGGUGGAAGAGAGAAGUGGAAUUCUCGGAGUAGCGGUAAAAUGCGUAGAUCUCGAGAGGAACACCAAUGGCGAAGGCAGCUUCUUGGUCCAUUCCUGACGUUCAUACACGAAAGCGUGGGGAGCAAACAGGAUUAGAUACCCGCGUAGUCCCUGUCUCUUAUAC
rnacentral:rRNA from 1 species